rnacentral:rRNA from 1 species
GAUGAACGCUGGCGGCGUGCCUAAUACAUGCAAGUCGAGCGAACAGACGAGGAGCUUGCUCCUCUGACGUUAGCGGCGGACGGGUGAGUAACACGUGGAUAACCUACCUAUAAGACUGGGAUAACUUCGGGAAACCGGAGCUAAUACCGGAUAAUAUAUUGAACCGCAUGGUUCAAUAGUGAAAGACGGUUUUGCUGUCACUUAUAGAUGGAUCCGCGCCGCAUUAGCUAGUUGGUAAGGUAACGGCUUACCAAGGCAACGAUGCGUAGCCGACCUGAGAGGGUGAUCGCCCACACUGGAACUGAGACACGGUCCAGACUCCUACGGGAGGCAGCAGUAGGGAAUCUUCCGCAAUGGGCGAAAGCCUGACGGAGCAACGCCGCGUGAGUGAUGAAGGUCUUCGGAUCGUAAAACUCUGUUAUUAGGGAAGAACAAAUGUGUAAGUAACUAUGCACGUCUUGACGGUACCUAAUCAGAAAGCCACGGCUAACUACGUG